CGGAUUUAUUGGGUUUAAAGGGAGCGUAGGCGGAUUGUUAAGUCAGCGGUUAAAGGGUGUGGCUCAACCAUGCAUUGCCGUUGAAACUGGCGAUCUUGAGUGCAGACAGGGAUGCCGGAAUUCGUGGUGUAGCGGUGAAAUGCUUAGAUAUCACGAAGAACUCCGAUCGCGAAGGCAGGUGUCCGGGCUGCAACUGACGCUGAGGCUCGAAAGUGUGGGUAUCAAACAGGAUUAGAUACCSUGGUAGUCCACACAGUAAACGAUGUAUACUCGCGGUUUGCGAUAGAUUGUAAGCCGCCAAGCGAAAGCAUUAAGUAUACCACCUGGGGAGUACGCCGGCAACGGUGAAACUCAAAGGAAUUGACGGGGGCCCGCACAAGCGGGGGAACAUGUGGUUUAAUUCGAUGAUACGCGAGGAACCUUACCCGGGCUUGAAC
rnacentral:rRNA from 1 species